rnacentral:rRNA from 1 species
CCUACGGGUGGCUGCAGUGGGGAAUAUUGCGCAAUGGGGGAAACCCUGACGCAGCAACGCCGCGUGAAGGAUGAAGGUCUUCGGAUUGUAAACUUCUUUGAUUGGGGAAGAUAAUGACGGUACCCAAAAAACAAGCCACGGCUAACUACGUGCCAGCAGCCGCGGUAAUACGUAGGUGGCGAGCGUUGUCCGGAAUUACUGGGUGUAAAGGGCGUGUAGGCGGGAAGGUACGUCAGAUGUGAAAUACCGGGGCUCAAAUCCGGGGCUGCAUUUGAAACUAUCUGUCUUGAGUGCAGGAGAGGAAAGUGGAAUUCCUAGUGUAGCGGUGAAAUGCGUAGAUAUUAGGAGGAACACCAGUGGCGAAGGCGACUUUCUGGACUGUAACUGACGCUGAGGCGCGAAAGCAUGGGGAGCGAACAGGAUUAGAUACCCUUGUAGUC